GCAAUCAUACGCGCACUAAUACACCGGAUCCCAUCAGAACUCUGCAAUUAAUCGUGCUUGGUCGACAGUAGUACUAGGAUGCGUGUUCCCCUGGGAAUCCCUCGUGCUGCACCCU